CCUACGGGGGGCAGCAGUGGGGAAUAUUGGGCAAUGGGCGCAAGCCUGACCCAGCAACGCCGCGUGAAGGAAGAAGGCUUUCGGGUUGUAAACUUCUUUUAAGAGGGAAGAGCAGAAGACUGUACCUCUUGAAUAAGCCACGGCUAACUACGUGCCAGCAGCCGCGGUAAUACGUAGGUGGCAAGCGUUGUCCGGAUUUACUGGGUGUAAAGGGCGUGCAGCCGGGAAGACAAGUCAGAUGUGAAAGCCCGCGGCUCAACCGCGGAACUGCAUUUGAAACUGUUUUUCUUGAGUACCGGAGAGGUCAUCGGAAUUCCUUGUGUAGCGGUGAAAUGCGUAGAUAUAAGGAAGAACACCAGUGGCGAAGGCGGAUGACUGGACGGCAACUGACGGUGAGGCGCGAAAGCGUGGGGAGCAAACAGGAUUAGAUACCCGUGUAGUC
rnacentral:rRNA from 1 species